rnacentral:lncRNA from 1 species
AGCGUUGCAGCUUGCAUGUGGCAGGGAUGUAGGGUGAAGCUGUGCAGGGCAAAAGACAGGUCAGUUCCCGCUGGAAGUGCCCCACUGGGGGGCCUCGGUGUGUCUCUUUCCCCAGCACUGGCAUGGCACAUUUUGACCUGAGCAAUGGUGAGCUGCCCGGAAUACGAACAGGAGGAAGAGAACCUUCCCCAGGCAGCAUGUGAGGCUGGGGUGGCACUCGACACAGGACAGCAGGCAAGGACAUGCCGCCCUCCAGGCUGAGGGUCUUGGGAGCCUCCCCUCCCAGCCCCUGCUGUGGCCUCCCCCUGGGCCCUGGCAUGGGAGGAGUUAAGCUGCCGCGGGCACCUUGGCACAUUGCGCUGCCCAGAGUGUCCGGCUCCCCACCCCCACUGCUUUUCUUCCUUUUUGCCUUUUUCCUUCUUAAUUAAUCAUACGCUGCUGCCCAAUUUAAAUAUGGAAAUGCCCAGGCCGAGGCGAUGCAAUUAUUCAUGAGGGCCGGGCGGCUGUCCGGGGCUCUCGGGCUGUGGGGAGUACCGUGGCAUCGCCUCCGUUCUGAUGUGUGUGAAAUUAUGUGCACAAAAGGCGCCUCCUUAUCUGGGAGUGUGAACUAAAUAAAUAAAUAAGGGCUUUUGUUUGUUUGCCGGCUCCUGCA